UACGGAGGGUGCGAGCGUUAAUCGGAAUUACUGGGCGUAAAGGGUGCGUAGGUGGUUAUAUAAGUUAGCUGUGAAAUACCUGGGCUUAACCUGGGAAGGUCAGCUAAGACUGUAAGACUUAGAGUAUAGGAGAGGGUAGUGGAAUUUCCGGUGUAGCGGUGAAAUGCGUAGAGAUCGGAAGGAACACCAGUGGCGAAGGCGGCUACCUGGCCUAAUACUGACACUGAGGCACGAAAGCGUGGGGAGCAAACAGG
rnacentral:rRNA from 1 species